rnacentral:rRNA from 1 species
AGUGAACGCUGGCGGUAGGCCUAACACAUGCAAGUCGAACGGCAGCACAGUAAGAGCUUGCUCUUACGGGUGGCGAGUGGCGGACGGGUGAGGAAUACAUCGGAAUCUACUUUUUCGUGGGGGAUAACGUAGGGAAACUUACGCUAAUACCGCAUACGACCUACGGGUGAAAGCAGGGGAUCUUCGGACCUUGCGCGAUUGAAUGAGCCGAUGUCGGAUUAGCUAGUUGGCGGGGUAAAGGCCCACCAAGGCGACGAUCCGUAGCUGGUCUGAGAGGAUGACAGGCCAAACUGAACUGAGACACGGUCCAGACUCCUACGGGAGGCAGCAGUGGGGAAUAUUGGACAAAGGGCGCAAGCCUGAUCCAGCCAUACCGCGUGGGUGAAGAAGGCCUUCGGGUUGUAAAGCCCUUUUGUUGGGAAAGAAAAGCAGCAGGUUAAUACCCCGCUGUUCUGACGGUACCCAAAGAAUAAGCACCGGCUAACUUCGUG